UGCUGUGGUGUGGGGUGGGGAAGGGAGGGGAGGGGAGGUUGUUGAGGGGACAUGCAGGAAAGAGAUUAGGAAAUUCAGAACAGGAGGACACAAGGGCAGGGGAAUGCUGAGGCCAAGGCCUUCUCCCACCACCUGCCUCCUGCGGGAGUGAUUCCACAGUGCAGAGGGAGAGCCAUUUGGAGGUCCGGCACCCGCUCUGCCCAUGCCUAUGCUUCAGGCUCUGUGAGAAGGCUGGACUCCUUCUGGAACUUCAGGACCUUGGAUGCUCCCCUCCUCUGCUCCUGCCUCCCUUCCCCCAGCCCUGGGGUGUGUCAGAUGUGUGUUUUCUCCUGGACUCAGCUGAAGCAAGAUUAUACAAUGAGCUGUCUUUGUUCAUGAUGUGGUUUCUUUCCAAGCUUUAGAGGAUCAGAAGUGCUGGCCUUUGUCUCUCUGCAGCUUCAGAACUCCAGCUUCUAGCCCUGUCUGGCGAAGAGGAAAGUGGUUUUAUAACUCUCAGCUGGUGUAGUAGCAGUCUCAGUACCAAUAUGACUUCUAGGUGAAAUAUAUACAUGUCUUAAAGGGGUAAAGUGGAGAAGCCAGAAGGGUCAGGGCACCUGUGUUCUAGGCUUUACUCAGCCUUUUAUCAAUUAUAUGACCUUGGACAAGUCUCCAAAUUUUAGCUUCCUUACUGUGUGAUGGAGACAACGAUGCUAUCAGCCUCCUAAAGUUGGAUUAGAAGACACAAUGUGCAUGAACACAUUGGGUAAACUACAAAGGAUCAAGUCAUGCAUAAAUGUCAACUGGGGGAAUAAAACUAUUGGACGCAUCCCCCACUAGCGUUUCAAUGGGACAUCAUGAGAAUAGCAUAUGCUCCUCACCCCUGUCAGAGACAGGACCUAGUUGGAUGGAUCAUUCUCUGUGAUAAUUCUUAUGGCAGAAUGAACUCACAGGCGGCCUCCCUACCUUUCAUCCUGGUGAUGUUAGGAAUUAGUCUGACUACCAUUAGUCAUUCCAGAUGCUGAGAACAGUGAACAACCGACAUGGUGACACUUCUACUAUAAGCCAAGCUCAGGAACGGGUGAUGCUCCUUAGAUGAAUUAAUGCUGGGGCUAUUGUUUUAUAAGGGGCAGGGUCAAAGACAAGCUCAGAAAGAUAGCCCUUCUUCAUAAGAGACCAGAUAAUUGGUGCUGAGAAAAAAGCUAGUGCUCAUCAUGGAUGGAGACAGGCUUGCUUCUAGGCUACUGAGGACAUCGACCACAGCUCUCCCAUGGGAGACUAAAAGGCUUCCAUCACACUGAUGCCAGCUAGGCCAUCAAUAAGGGGGCUUUCUGUGGGAAGGGAUGGGGCAGGGACACUGGUCCAGGCAACCAGAAAGAAGGGACUUUAGGAAAAGGGUAGGAAGUCAAAGAGAGAGACCAAGAGGUCUGGAGAAGAAUGGGACAGAAGUCUAUCUCAAGGUCAAUGUCAGGUGGGCUCCUUUCUUUGUUGGUUCUUGGAAGUUAAAAAGUGAACUUUCCACCAGUGUAUUGCUCUUAAGAUCCACCUGCUCCUCAAGUGGAAUGAACCAAUAAGCCUUGUAUAUCUCCAUUUCACUUCUCUAUAUUUGACCUGGGACACAUUCUCCAGGACGAAGGUGUUCAGAAAAGCACAGAACUCUUUCCCCAGUUUCUUUCAGGGGAUUUCUCUGAGUAGAAUGGAGGAGCCCUGGACUCUGAUGGGUGACCGUGUUGAGUCAUCAUGGUUACUGGCAUCAGAAGAGGGCUCCAGGGGCCAGCGGUGGAGAUGACCACCCUGCCCCAGUGUGAGAGACUGAGUUUCCUGAGGGCUGUUCACAAGUUAGCGAAAAAUAACUUUUAAGAAACCUGAGUAAUGACAUCUUCUCAGGGUCUAGCCACAAAUGUUUCUGAUUGCACAUUCUGGCUAUAGAUACUAAUACUUGGGUUGGAAAUAGACCCAAUAGGUCAUCUUGUCCAUCCUCCUGCCUCAGGCAGGACUAAUGAUAUAUGUUUGUCUUAUUCUUCCCCUAGAACUCCAGGGGUCAAAAUACUGUAUAUUCCUCCACUCAUCCAUCCAUCCAUCCAUCCGUCAUUUAUUGAAACAUGAGUAGGACAGUGGACCUCUCCUUUAACAACUCAUGGUAUAGUCUUUUCAGAGUUUCCAAUCCCUAACCAGCAAGAGUAAUUUCUAAUGUCUAAACUAAAUGUCUAAUCUAAUCCAGUGUCUAAUUUCUAACAUCUAAUCUAAUGUCUUCAUUUCGUAAAUAAAGAGAAGGAUAAAACAGGCUCAUUCAUUCAUUCACGCAUAUGCAAAUGCAUGCAUUCAUUCCACAAAUACUUCUGAGCAUGUUGUCUGUUCCAAGUGAAUUGGAAGGCACACCUUUGUUUUGGAUAUGCCACUUACCUUUCAUGUUCACUAGGUACAUCCUAAGACUGGGAACUCAAUCAGCAUUGAAAAUGCGGUCAAGAAAAGCUCAUAUGUAACUACGUAUUUGGACAAAAUGUAGCUCCUACAACUCCUUCCAUUUAAGGAUCUCAAAAUAUCUAAGAGCAUGAUCAUUGCCCAGAGGGAGUGAUCGUGUGUUGAGGGUUUCAUCCCAGCUGGCAUUCGGGCGGCUCCAGAAUUCCUAAUUCUUUGCCACGAAACUGUUUCCAGAGGAGCAGGUAAGCAAGGCUGGGUUCUUUUGCCUCUGUCUGAACCUGCUCCCCAGCCCUUCCCUUGAGUUCUGUACCCUCUUCCCCCAUCUUGGGUCCUUUCAGCUUCCACAUCUUCUUGAAGCAAAAGGGGAGAAGGUGGGCUGAGAGUGGGACAGAAAUACCCCCUUGAACUCUCAGCCUCUCCUGAUUCAUCAAAGUGGGGAAGUUGGUUGCUGGAAUGAGUGGGGGCGGAGAAGAGAGGAAGAGAGGGCUCUGCAGGCUGGGAAUGAUCCAGAACCCUCAUUAAUGUCUGACACCUCCAAUAAAAGCUGCAGAUUCCCCAAAA